UACUAAGCGGUGGAAAAGAAACUAACUAGGAUUCCCUUAGUAGCGGCGAGCGAACAGGAAAGAGCCCAGCACUAAAUCCUGCGGCCGGAGACGGACGCUGGAAAAUGUAGUGUUAGGGAGGAGCCAAAUAUCUCGGUGCGUUGCGGCGAGUUCAAGUCCAUCCUGAAUGGGGCCAUUUGCCCAUAGAGGAUGCCAGGCCCGUAGCGACUGUUGCGCGUAUCGAGAGGAUCUCUCCUCAGAGUCGAGUUGCUUGAGAGUGCAGCUCUAAGUGGGUGGUAAACUCCAUCUAAGGCUAAAUAUGACCACGAGACCGAUAGCGAACAAGUAAUGUGAGGGAAAGUUGAAAAGAACUUUGAAGAGAGAGUUCAAGAGUACGUGAAACCGUUCAGGUCGAAAGGAGAGAUUCAAUAUUAUUGUUGUCUUCUAUUUAUUGGCGUGCGAUUGACCGGGAUUCGUCCUGCGAUACGUCGUCGGUUUAUGCGUUAGGCGGCGAUGGCAUGCACUUCUCUCUCAGUAGGACGUCGCGACCCGUUUGGUGUCGAUCUACGACCGCGGCGGUGGGCUGUCACGAAUUUAUUCGCGUCAGACCCCGCGUGCUCUGGUCGACUGCCAGACGGUAUAAAUGAUAUGGUAUAGGGUCGGUUUUAGGCGUUCGGCCGGUUGCAAGCACGGAUGGUUAUUGGCCGUCGGACCUAGUCCGGCAUCAAUACCGCCUCGAGCUGUUAGCUGUGGUGUCAUCGGACGGACUCUAUUACCGGUCAGCGAUGCUAUUGCUUUGGGUACUUUCAGGACCCGUCUUGAAACACGGACCAAGGAGUCUAGCAUGUGCGCGAGUCAUUGGAAAAUACAAAACCUAAAGGCGCAAUAAACGUAAAGGUUUGCUUAAGUAAACUGAGGGAUGACGGACCGCAUCUACGGAUGCGUGCUUGCAAUCCCGAGGUGUCUCACUCUCAUUGCGAGAAGAGACGCACUCAGAGCGUACACGCUAGGACCCGAAAGAUGGUGAACUAUGCCCGGUCAGGUCGAAGUCAGGGGAAACCCUGAUGGAGGACCGUAGCCAUUCUGACGUGCAAAUCGAUCGUCGGAACUGGGUAUAGGGGCGAAAGGCUAAUUGAACCAUCUAGUAGCUGGUUCCCUCCGAAGUUUCCCUCAGGAUAGCUGGCAUUCGAUGAGCAAGUCUCAUCCGGUAAAGCAAAUGAUUAGAGGCCUUGGGGCCGAAACGACCUCAACCUAUUCUCAAACUUUAAAUGGGUAAGAUCUCUGGCUUGCUUGAAUAGUAAAGCCAGAGAUUUGGAUCAGAGUGCCUAGUGGGCCACUUUUGGUAAGCAGAACUGGCGCUGUGGGAUGAACCAAACGCCGAGUUAAGGCGCCUAAACGACGCUAAUGGAAUACCAUGAAAGGCGUUGGUUGCUUAAGACAGCAGGACGGUGGCCAUGGAAGUUGGAAUCCGCUAAGGAGUGUGUAACAACUCACCUGCCGAAGCAACUAGCCCUGAAAAUGGAUGGCGCUGAAGCGUCGUGCCUAUACUCGGCCGCCGGGGCAUGAGAAACGUUCAUAAUAGUUCGUUUCGACGCCCUGGUAAAUAGAAGGGUCGCGGUGGUGUGCGGAGAAAGGUUUGGACGUGAGUCUGCCUGGAGCCGCCAUCGGUGCAGAUCUUGGUGGUAGUAGCAAAUACUCCAGCGAGGCCCUAGAGGACUGACGUGGAGAAGGGUUUUGUGUGAACAGCCGUUGCACACGAGUCAGUCAAUCCUAAGCCCCAGGAGAAAUCCUAUGUUGAUGUUGGUGUAUUUUAUUUUGAAUAAAAUUUCACACCCAUCGGGCGAAAGCGAAUCCGAUUCCUAUUCCGGAAACACGGCAGCGAAACCGUUUACAAGUCGGGCCCUUGCAAGGGAGUUUGUCGGGGUAACCCAAAAUGACCUGGAGACGCCGUCGGGAAAUACGGGGAGAGUUUUCUUUUCUGUAUGAGCGUUCGAGUUCGGUGUCCGUAUCUUUCCCUCGGACCUUGAAAAUCCAGGAGAGGGCCACGGUAGGUGUCGCGCCGGUUCGUACCCAUAUCCGCAGCGGGUCUCCAAGGUGAAGAGCCUCUAGUCGAUAGAUAAAUGUAGGUAAGGCAAGUCGGCAAAUUAGAUCCGUAACUUCGGUAUAAGGAUUGGCUCUGAGGAUAGAGGCGUGCCGGGCUUGGUUGUGAAGCGGGCGUAGGCCGAUGUGCCGGGCCUGGGCGAGGUAAAAUUGUCCUUGUGACUUAGAUCCGAGCUCGGUCCCGUAUCUAGGCCCCCGCGGAUCUUUCUUGCUGCGAGGUUUCUGUGUCGGCUUUGGUCGGUCAGUCGUACUCUUCGGCCGCCAUUCAACGAUCAGCUCAGAACUGGCACGGACUAGGGGAAUCCGACUGUCUAAUUAAAACAAAGCAUUGCGAUGGCCCGAGCGGGUGUUGACGCAAUGUGAUUUCUGCCCAGUGCUCUGAAUGUCAACGUGAAUAAAUUCAAGCAAGCGCGGGUAAACGGCGGGUUACUCCGUUGACUCUUUGAUGAGAGUGGUUGGGGUUUUUCGGGAUCUCAGCUAGCAAGUGGCCAUUUCACAAACCCUUAACCCUGUUCCUAUAAAUUCACUAUCUCUCAAUUCCUUCAUCUCAUUACCGUACAUUGACUGCCUUUUCCACUCGUUGAAAAAACUUUUUUCAUCCAUUGGUCUAAAGCUAGUGUGUUCGACUGGACACAUUCACACAGACUUAUACACUAAUUUAAAAACUCCUAUCCCUAUUUCCUGCACGUCAAACGUCGUAUAUGUCAUUGAUUGUAAUGAUUGUUCAAGUUGUUGUAUUGGAGAAACUUCACACUUUCUCUCAAAACGAAUGCGGCAACACGAACUUAACAGUUUAAACAGAAAACAAAAUAAAACCAUGAUCACCAAACAUGUCUCCAACUUUAAACAUUCUUUUAA
rnacentral:rRNA from 1 species